GUUGAACGCUGGCGGCGUGCCUAAUACAUGCAAGUCGAGCGAACGGACGAGAAGCUUGCUUCUCUGAUGUUAGCGGCGGACGGGUGAGUAACACGUGGAUAACCUACCUAUAAGACUGGGAUAACUUCGGGAAACCGGAGCUAAUACCGGCUACUAUUUUGAACCGCAUGGUUCAAAAGUGAAAGACGGUCUUGCUGUCACUUAUAGAUGGAUCCGCGCUGCAUUAGCUAGUUGGUAAGGUAACGGCUUACCAAGGCAACGAUGCAUAGCCGACCUGAGAGGAUGAUCGGCCACACUGGAACUGAGACACGGUCCAGACUCCUACGGGAGGCAGCAGUAGGGAACUUUCCGCAAUGGGCGAAAGCCUGACGGAGCAACGCCGCGUGAGUGAUGAAGGUCUUCGGAUCGUAAAACUCUGUUAUUAGGGAAGAACAUAUGUGUAAGUAACUGGGCACAUCUUGACGGUACCGAAUCAGAAAGCCACGGCUAACUACGUG
rnacentral:rRNA from 1 species